rnacentral:rRNA from 1 species
CCAGACUCCUACGGGAGGCAGCAGUGGGGAAUAUUGCACAAUGGGGGGAACCCUGAUGCAGCGACGCCGCGUGGGCGAGGAAGUAUUUCGGUAUGUAAAGCCCUAUCGGCAGGGAAGAAGAAAUGACGGUACCUGAAUAAGAAGCACCGGCUAAAUACGGGCCAGCAGCCGCGGAAAUACGUAGGGGGCAAGCGUUAUCCGGAUUUACUGGGUGUAAAGGGGGCGCAGACGGCGAUGCAAGCCAGGAGUGAAAGCCCGGGGCCCAACCCCGGGACUGCUCUUGGAACUGCGUGGCUGGAGUGCAGGAGGGGCAGGCGGAAUUCCUGGUGUAGCGGUGAAAUGCGUAGAUAUCAGGAGGAACACCGGUGGCGAAGGCGGCCUGCUGGACUGCAACUGACGUUGAGGCCCGAAAGCGUGGGGAGCAAACAGGAUUAGAUACCCUAGUA